AUGUCACGUCGAGGUACUAAAGAAAAAAGAACUGCAGAAUCCGAUCCAAUUUUUCGUAAUCGAUUAGUUAAUAUGGUGGUCAACCGUGUUAUCAAAGAUGGAAAAAAAUCAUUGGCUUAUCAAAUUCCCUAUCAAGCCGUGAAAAAGAUUCAACGAAAGACUGAAACAAAUCUACUAUUGAUUUAAUGUCAAGCAAUGCGUAGAGUAACUCCCAAUAUGAUAGGAAAUUAA
rnacentral:rRNA from 1 species